GACGAACGCUGGCGGCGUGCUUAACACAUGCAAGUCGAACGGUGAAGCGCCUUCCUUGUUGGUGGGUGUGUAGGAGCGGCGAACUGGGGAGUAAGACGUGAGUAACCUGCUCCCUUCGUGUGGAUAACCGCAUGAAAGUGUGGCUAAUACGGGAUAUUCUGAGUCGGUCGCAUGAUGAGUGUGGGACAGUUAUUGUGUCAGUUGGAGAUGGGUCCGCGCCGCAUUAGCUUGUUGGUGGGGUGAUGGCCUACCAAGGCGGUGAGGGGUAGCCGGCCGGGGAGGGUGGACGGCCACGCAGGGGCUGAGACACCGAGCAGACUCCGACGGGAGGCAGCAGGGGGGAAUAUGGAACAGUGGGCGCAAGGCUGAUGCAGCGCCGCCGCGUGGGUGAUGGUGGCCUUAGCGUUGUGCACUUCUUUCGGGAGUGAAGCAAGGCUGCCUUGAUUGUGGGUGGGUUGACGGUAGCUGGACAAGAAGCGCCGGCUAACUACGUG
rnacentral:rRNA from 1 species